rnacentral:tRNA from 1 species
GACCUCGUGGCCUAAUGGAUAAGGCAUCUGACUUCGGAUCAGAGGAUUCCAGGUUCGAGUCCUGGUGGGGUCG